CCUCUCAGCACACAUCCUGCAGCAGGAGGAAGAGGCUCAAGGUCGUGAUGCUUGUCAAUGUUAGAAUGAGCUUCCCACUGUGAUGCCAAGCUCAUGCCUCUCCCAUUUCACUUUGUAGCUCCGUUCUUCAGAGUCUGGCUGGACCUUGCACAGAAGCCCUCCGUACCUCUCCAGGGUUGAGACUGGUCCUUGGAUGUCCUCAGCCUUAGAAUUGGAAGCCAAAGGGGAAUACAAUCCACAUCUCCGACCACCUGAGCAGCACAUUUCUUCACCAGGCCCACAAGAUCAGGGUUCUGAGUGUGUCUGGAAGCCUGAAGGGUAAAGAUGAAGAAAAAUGCUACCAUAAAGGACAACAAAAGAGAAACUGAAACUAGGUGUUCUCGCAAUAGCAACAAAGACAUCUUCCUCCCACUUACUGCUCAAUUGAUGCUAGAAAUACCGUGGGUAGAGAUUCAUCCUGUUCACUUAAAACACCUCAUCCUCCUAAACCGCAAAGCUCAAGGAGAAGAGCAGAGGAGGGCUUUGCUGAACCCCACACAUCUUUAGGACUGGAGUCAAGGUGGUUGAGGGAGGCUGCAGGAUUGUGAUGAUCUGGAAUCCGAGGAACAGGAACUCUGCUGAGGAGCAUGCAGCUGAUACAUCAGGCCUGCUGUGGUUGCUGGAACUUGCAUAAUGUUGAAUUUUGCCUUCUAGAUUUGUUCCUCUGACCUCAUCUUCAGGACAUUCUCAGUGCCUUCCCUAUUUGCUUUGAUGAAUCGAGCUGAGACAUUGUAUCUUUCCCCAUCCGUGUUCCUGGGUGAUGAUUCACAUCGUUGUUAGUGACAGAUACUUUCAAAAGGGCUUGGAUAUUCUUCUAUGUGGGAGACACAUUCUAAUGGGCAAUUAGACUUUGACCCUCCCCUCAUUUUCAGAGUUGAGUAGAGGAGGUAACUGUCAACAACAGACAGUGAUUCUCUUAGCUAGUUAAUAUCAAAUUCCCAGGUACCCUCCCAGGCACUGCAUGUGAUUUUACCCGUGGUGGGAAGGAUAAGGCUCUGGGAAAUAAUUGCUGACUAGGUGGAUAGAAGUCAUGGGCAUUCACCCGGCAUGCGGUACAUCCAUUUAAGAUUGUGUGCAAGGAGCCUAGAAAACCUGACUGUUGGACCUCUAGGACUCUGAUAUGCCUGGAGACGAGCUAAGAGGCCACCAGAGGAGCCUGAACCCCAGAAGCCAUCACCACUGUGGCAGAAGUCACUAGAGAUUGACAUCCACCUGGAUUUAAAACUCUAUGAAAUGAGUUGACAACAAAAACCAAGUGACCACAAAAACCAGCUGCCCUGAACUUUAGAUGGACACCCCAAACCAACUGCCACAGCUUUGGAUUGCUCAGCUAUAAAACAGGAUAACGAUAGUCCCAUUUACCCUUCACUGCCUUUAAGGAUCUCAAACAGCUCUGAGAUUGUUGUGUAUCAGCCCCCAAGAAACAAAUCUAAAUGUGCCCAGAAUACGAGUAGGCAGGCACAUUGCCUUGCUAACUGGGGAAAGAUGUAGGGUAAGAGGAUGGUGAGGCCAGUGACAAACUGAAGCACACAUUUCAUGCAAUUUGGAUUCUACAAAGCAACAUUGGGCCAUAUGAAACCUCUGUGGGCAAAGCUUGCCUUUGCCUGUGAAUUUUCCAUUCCUGGAUGCUGUAGAAUAGGGAGGUCUACCAGCCUAUGGAGUGAAUAUAGGAGGACAAGUCUUUUCAUUGGUGCCUGUAGCAGAAAGCUCCUAGGAUGUGGUGCUUGGGGAGGCUUCUCCUUCAGAUGUUUUCUUGUGGACACUAGGAACUGAAAUCCUAAUUUCAAGGAAUAUAGGGCUGAGUAUGGGGGAGAAGGGUUAGACAGUGAGUUUUAUAAGAUUAAUGGUUUUCACUAAGACGUAAAUACAUUAUCUACAAUGGAAAACCUAUUGAUUCUCUUUUGGCCAUUGGUGCCUAAGUACUUUAAGACAGGAAUAAAAAUCUGGUGUACUCCUUAACUUUGAUAUUGCCACAUGACUUGCAUGGAGUCUCAGGCACCUGACUAGGGACUGACUGGCAUUUCAGACAGUACAUCUAGGGCCCUGCCCUCAAGACACUUGAAACCUAGUGAGGGAAUGUAAGGGCAGGAUGGGGCCCAUUUGCUCACCUCCUUAUAUUCAGGUGCCUACAGUACAUGGGAAACAAAAACGGGUGGAAAGAACACAUCCCUCUUCAAUGCAGAAAUGCUGAAAGCGAAGGUUAGCAGGGAUCCUGAGCUUACUAGAAUAGUCUAGAAGAGGAUGGACUGCUGGUGGGUAAGCUAAGGAUGGGGAUUGAUGAGGAACAAAAGGGGUUGUUAGGGAUCCUUUGCUCCCUCCCGCAGGUCUGGGAGACUUGAGGUGUUGAGCACCCAGCUUGUCCAAGCAUCAGGAAGGCUGACAAAGGGCUAGAAUUCACAGAAUCAGGGGAUGCCUGGAAGGUGGCAGGAUAUGUCUUAGGACCCCUUAGGGCUCUUAGGAACCAACUGAGAAAACUUGGCUUAUCUGCCAGCAGGCUCUCAUCUGCAGUGGGAUGGGAGGGUGAGGGAUUGCUCCUCCGUCUUUCUAGGCUGAUGGAAAGCAGGUGUUCCAAAGAACUGAGUUCUGUGAUGUCUGCCGCCACUGGCCUCGUGAAAACCUUCCCUGGGUGUGAGUCUCAGACCAUUUCCCGAGGUUCAUAUUCCAAUUCUUGACCUGGCAUCUGCUGAAGCGAGUUAUUUCAUUAUCAGUGAUAAUCUUAAUAACCGCAGGAUUUUCUCUUGGUAGAUUUACCCCCAGCAUCGGCACUGUUAAUUGCAACUCUUAUCAAUAGCUACUGGAGCAAGCUGCUUUGCAAUGAAAACAAAGCUUCAAGGCUGGGCUCACAGCAAGGUCAGAAUGUCCCCUGAGAGUCUGGAGGCAAGGAUUUCAGCUUGUGAACAGACUUAGUGUUUUUUUUUUCUUGGUUCCCACAGGCUCUCCUUCCUUAUUUCAGCUUCACCUGCCAUGCCAAUACUCAGUACAUGGGGCCCGGUUUUGCAGACACUGAGCAUGCCCAGUGACUCCACACCUGCAACUGCUGAGUCCUGCUGCUUCUCCCAUAAGCAUGCUGGCUUACUUAGGUAUGCUAACUUUAAAAAGUGGGGGAUAACCAGAGCCGACCCUGGAGUUGCUGUGAGGAACUGUGGGCUGGUUGAAAGGACAUAGGUCUGGGGGCAUGCAGCAAUUGCUUUAAUUUCUUGUCUUCCAUUUACCACAGUACUCUGUGGCCUUGAGUUCUAACAGCCUUUUAGGAGUCUUAACUGUACACUGCAUUUAAUCAUACUGAAUCAUACUGACUUCCACUUGGUACAGGGACACCAGCCUUCAUUUCAAUUGCUUGAAAGUAGGAUGGUCCAUGGAAAUUAUUUUUUUUAUCAGAACAACAUAGAUAUAUUUAUUACUUACAAUAUACAGGAACUGAACAUGUUUUCUCUUCUCCUUUUCCGUUUUAAUUUUAAAUUAGAAACAAGCUUGUUUCACAUGCUGAUCUCAGUUCCCUCACCCUCUCCUCCUCCCCUGCCCCCACCGACCCCCUAUCCCAUCCCGUUUCUGUUCCCAGGGAGAAUGAGCCCUCCAUGGGGGAUCUUCAAA